GACGAACGCUGGCGGCGUGCUUAACACAUGCAAGUCGAACGGAAAGGCCCUGCUUUUGUGGGGUGCUCGAGUGGCGAACGGGUGAGUAACACGUGAGUAACCUGCCCUUGACUUUGGGAUAACUUCAGGAAACUGGGGCUAAUACCGGAUAGGAGCUCCUGCUGCAUGGUGGGGGUUGGAAAGUUUCGGCGGUUGGGGAUGGACUCGCGGCUUAUCAGCUUGUUUGUGAGGUAGUGGCUUACCAAGGCUUUGACGGGUAGCCGGCCUGAGAGGGUGACCGGCCACAUUACGACUGAGAGACGGCCCAGACUCCUACGGGAGGCAGCAGUGGAGAAUAUUACAGAAUGGGCGGACGUCUGAUGCAGCAGCGCCGCGUGCGGGAUGCCGGCCUUCGGGUUGUAAACCACUUUCGCCUGAGACGAAGCGUGAGUGACGGUAAUGGGUAAAGAAGCACCGGCUAACUACGUG
rnacentral:rRNA from 1 species